GACCAUGGCUCAGGACGAACGCUGGCGGCGCGCCUAACACAUGCAAGUCGAACGAGCGAGAGAGAGCUUGCUUUCUCGAGCGAGUGGCGAACGGGUGAGUAACGCGUGAGGAACCUGCCUCAAAGAGGGGGACAACAGUUGGAAACGACUGCUAAUACCGCAUAAGCCCACGGUGCCGCAUGGCACAGAGGGAAAAGGAGCAAUCCGCUUUGAGAUGGCCUCGCGUCCGAUUAG
rnacentral:rRNA from 1 species